UAGACAGGCUGUGUCCGUAGAAACGUCUGGCAAGAUAGCGGGUCAGGAUAUCAAUAUAUCGUUAGAUAGAUCGUACGCAGAUGAGUCGAGCUGUGGUACCACACAUGUAGAUAGAAAUCUGCAUUGACCUAGUUCUUUGAUGUGCUAUAUAUAGAUUGAAAAUUGCGUUCAUUUAGUUGGCAAUGCUGAUUUGAAUGUUAACAUUGUGGAUGUUGGUUUUGAACAUGAUGUCUCUAGCAAGGAUAUGUUUGAUGAUGGUUACCAUGGAAACGAACUCACGGACCUAUGUCAAAAAUGUCUUUUUCUGAUAAAAUAAAUAUAAUGUUAUGCAUUUCACUCAA